ACAGUGCCUGGUGGGUAGUUUGACUGGGGCGGUCUCCUCCCAAAGAGUAACGGAGGAGCACGAAGGUGGGCUAAUCACGGUUGGACAUCGUGAGGUUAGUGCAAUGGCAUAAGCCCGCUUGACUGCGAGAAUGACAAUUCGAGCAGGUGCGAAAGCAGGUCAUAGUGAUCCGGUGGUUCUGAAUGGAAGGGCCAUCGCUCAACGGAUAAAAGGUACUCCGGGGAUAACAGGCUGAUACCGCCCAAGAGUUCAUAUCGACGGCGGUGUUUGGCACCUCGAUGUCGGCUCAUCACAUCCUGGGGCUGAAGUCGGUCCCAAGGGUAUGGCUGUUCGCCAUUUAAAGUGGUACGCGAGCUGGGUUUAGAACGUCGUGAGACAGUUCGGUCCCUAUCUGCCGUGGGCGUUGGAAGAUUGAAGGGGGCUGCUCCUAGUACGAGAGGACCGGAGUGGACGAACCUCUGGUGUUCGGGUUGUGUCGCCAGACGCAUUGCCCGGUAGCUAAGUUCGGAAUCGAUAACCGCUGAAAGCAUCUAAGCGGGAAGCGAGCCCUGAGAUGAGUCUUCCCUGAUACUUUAAGUAUCCUAAAGGGUUGUCGGAGACUACGACGUUGAUAGGUCAGGUGUGUAAGUGCUGUGAGGCAUUGAGCUAACUGAUACUAAUUGCCCGUGAGGCUUAACC
rnacentral:rRNA from 1 species